GCGCUGGUGUAGCUCAGUGGUUUCUUCCUACAACAAAUCCUACUGGGUUACCUGUUCAAACCUUUCGGGAUUGAACCACGGGCGCUGUCCAGUGUUUUU
ensembl:vault_RNA Vault Vault RNA